GAUGAACGCUGGCGGCGUGCCUAAUACAUGCAAGUCGAGCGAACAGACGAGGAGCUUGCUCCUCUGACGUUAGCGGCGGACGGGUGAGUAACACGUGGAUAACCUACCUAUAAGACUGGGAUAACUUCGGGAAACCGGAGCUAAUACCGGAUAAUAUAUUGAACCGCAUGGUUCAAUAGUGAAAGACGGUUUUGCUGUCACUUAUAGAUGGAUCCGCGCCGCAUUAGCUAGUUGGUAAGGUAACGGCUUACCAAGGCAACGAUGCGUAGCCGACCUGAGAGGGUGAUCGGCCACACUGGAACUGAGACACGGUCCAGACUCCUACGGGAGGCAGCAGUAGGGAAUCUUCCGCAAAGGGCGAAAGCCUGACGGAGCAACGCCGCGUGAGUGAUGAAGGUCUUCGGAUCGUAAAACUCUGUUAAUAGGGAAGAACAAAUGUGUAAGUAACUAUGCACGUCUUGACGGUACCUAAUCAGAAAGCCACGGCUAACUACGUG
rnacentral:rRNA from 1 species